UUGCACCACUGCACUCCAGCCUGGGCGAUACAGUGAGACCCAGUCUCAAAAAAAAAAAAAAAAGAGUCUUUUUUGAUGGUGGACAUCUUCCAAUGAGCAUUCACAUGGGACAGAUUUUUUUUUAGUUCUACCGUUGUUCUGAAAGCUCUAUGUAUGUUCCUCUUCCCUAAAAAUCUUUGUCACCAAGCCUCCAGAUUUAUUCCUUCUAAAAUGUUGAAAUUCCAGCUAAUUCCUUAGUUGUUACCCAGGAAACAAUGCAGAUCCUGGUCCGAGGAUGCAGCUCCUUCCAGGCAGCCUGGACUGUGAGGUGUGCUCCAUUGCUCUUCAGGAACCGUCCUUGAGAGGCGUUCCACAGCAGGCCAGACCUGGGGGGAGCAGGUGGGCCAGGCGGAAAGCACAGCACAAUUUGAGAGAUGCUGAGUACUCAUGACUCUGUGUAAGCACCUGAAUUCAGCCCUCAUGGUCUUUUCUGAGCUGUCAGUCAUUUAUCUCUAUUUAGUCAUUUUGCGAAUUGGAGUUAGCUUCCUUCCCUCUACACUCAAAGACGGCAUGUCAACAUUUUAGGCCUCUGGGUGGAAUGAACUCCCAGUUUCCUGGGAGGGAGCUGAUUGGCAUCUAUUCGCCUCUUCCUAGUUUUGUGGGGUUUCCCAGCAUGUGGAGUCAUAGAGAAAGACUGGUCCCACCUUCUAUGUAAUGCCCAAGAGAAUAGAUGACUCUCUGUCCACCCCCACCCUGGCAUCCAGGGCUUCUGGACAAGACCUAGGCUGGCUAAUUGGCUGCUUCCACAUGGGAUCCUGAAUCUGGAGCAAGUGAGGCAAAGCCCAGGGUGCUUAGAAUCCAUUCUCAGUGAGAGCAGCAGGACUGCCCGGGAGGGGAAUAGAGACGGGGACGACCGAGUCCUGCACCAGCAGAGAUGACGUCCGCAGGUGGCGGGGCAGCGCUGUGGCCGUGUCACUCCUCACAAAGCAGGGCUCUUGUGCUCGCAGCCUUCGAUACCGUCUCACUGUCUUGGCUUCUAUUUAUCUUCCAAGCCAAUUUCCAGCCUCCUACACACGUGGGGUUCUUCUGGUAUCAUUCCAGUGAAUUUCAUGUUGUUUUCUGCCCUAAGAAAACAGAGUUGGUACCUCUGCUCGACCAAGAAGCCUGAUUGAUACAGACUGAGAGCUGCAGGCUGUGUUUAUUUGCUUCAUUAACAAGAACAACUUAGGAAUGGCAACUUCCAUUGAUGAGCUUCCUACUUUGUUCUGCGGUUGGAAAACAAACAGUUGUUUCCCUGUUGACGACUGGCCACACUGGAGAGGUGAACAGUUCACUCUCAAGGCCAUACUGACUUGAACACUGGCUGUCUAGAAACAGAGAGGCAGGCAGCGGCAGACAGGAAGAGAGAUGGAGCAGAGUCCUCCAGCGGGAGCUGCACCUCGGAAGCAUCCUUAGAUGCGGCUUGGAGUUGGGAUCCUUCAAUUCCCCUCAGGAGAGUCAGCCAAAAAUAUCAACAGCCACAAUUUAUUGGACGCCUUCAGGAGAAAUGUCAAAGGCCUUUGUCCAAAAUGGAGUUUCACUGUUGUUGCCCAGGCAGGAGUGCAGUGGCGACUGGGAGUAAGACUUCGGGCCAGUGUGUCGUCCUGGAAACCCAAGCUGGUUCCCUGCAGGAAAGGAGGCUGGACAAGUGGGAAUGAGACUGAGUUGGAGUGGAGUUGGCCUCCACUCUGUUUACUAAGAGCUGUGUGUCCCUAGGUAAGUCACUUUCCCUCUCUGGGCCUCAGGUUUUUUACCUGAUAGAUGGGCUUAGAGUCUCUUCUGCUGAUCCCCCAGGGUUGCAGGCAGCCAGUGAGGUUCUGAGUACUGUAGAGGGGAUGCUCUCAGCAGUAGUGGCGGUGGUAGGGAGUUGGGAUUGCAAACCCAGAGGCCAGCAGAGGCCAGGCAGGAACUGGAUUGAACUGGAAACUCAAGCUGUCCACUUGGGUCCAGUCAGGAUGGAUACUGAUAGAAGUGGGGGUCUCAUGUUGCCCACCUCAUGUUUAAGAAGAUUCUAGAAUUAUAGAUUAUUUGAUGUGAAAUUUCCUUAAAUGUAAAUGUUGGUAAAUAAAGUAACUAUUUAAACGAUAUACAUGCAAACACACAUUUGCACACACACGCCUUACACACAAUGGCUGGUCAGAUUUAGUGCAUAGCCAGCCAGCUGGUUUUCUGCUUUGGAAUUAUAGGCUGCUAAUUUUUUUAUUUUUUCUAGACAUGGUCUUGCUUUGUCACCCAGGCUGGAGUGCAGUGGCGUGAACACAGCUCAUUGCAGCCUUGACCUCCUGAGCCCAAACAGUCCUCCCAUCCCAGCCCAGCCCAGCAAAUAACUGGGAUGACUGGCAUGUACCACCAAGACUCACUAAUUGUUGUAUGUUUGUAGAGACGGGGUUUCACCAUGUUGCCCAGGCUGGUCUCAAACUCCAGAGCUCAGGAAAAACAUUAACAUCUGCCAUUUUUCUAAAUUGAAUGUGAAAGAUGAUCCUGACAGGCUGAACAAAGAUGCUUGCUCUCUGUUGUGAUGUUUGACAAGGGAAUCUUCCUUCAUUUUCUCCUCUGAUGAGCCUCUCUACCAGAUAAGCAGCAGCAGGAACCAAACGUUUAAGAAAAAUGUAAAGACAUUAUUUUGUCCAUCACUUAACAUUUUUAUGAACAAGUUGGGAGGUAGCCUGCAUGAAUGCCUCUGUGCAAUGGAAUGAAUGGCCGGAGAUCUCACCAUCCCAGGAUGACUUUGGGGAAGGAAGACCCAAACAGCCCACUAUCACAUGCUGUCCUGCCUGCCUCAGGCCUCCUGUCCUUCUCUCCCUUGUGACCUGCAAACUAACCUUGAGGACUCAUGUCAACUGUCACUGCAUUGGAAGCCCUCUGUGAUAGUUAAUAUUGAGUGUCAACUUGAUUGGAUUGAAGGAUGCAAAGUAUUGUUCCUGGGUGUGUCUGUGAGGGUGUGGC
rnacentral:lncRNA from 1 species